GGCACUUUGGCGGAGUGGUUAACGCGCUGCCCUGCUAUUGAGCAGAUCAAGGCAGUUCCUUCGGGAGCGCAGGUUCGAAUCCUGCAGGUGUCG
rnacentral:tRNA from 1 species